UAACUUCCAUGUUUCUGUCCUCUUAACAGGUUCAUCUUAACUUCCAUGUUUCUGUCCUCUUAACAGAUUCAUCUUAACUUCCAUGUUUCUGUCCUCUUAACAGGUUCAUCUUAACUUCCAUGUUUCUGUCCUCUUAACAGGUUCAUCUUAACUUCCAUGUUUCUGUCCUCUUAACAGAUUCAUCUUAACUUCCAUGUUUCUGUCCUCUUAACAGAUUCAUCUUAACUUCCAUGUUUCUGUCCUCUUAACAGAUUCAUCUUAACUUCCAUGUUUCUGUCCUCUUAACAGGUUCAUCUUAACUUCCAUGUUUCUGUCCUCUUAACAGGUUCAUCUUAACUUCCAUGUUUCUGUCCUCUUAACAGGUUCAUCUUAACUUCCAUGUUUCUGUCCUCUUAACAGAUUCAUCUUAACUUCCAUGUUUCUGUCCUCUUAACAGGUUCAUCUUAACUUCCAUGUUUCUGUCCUCUUAACAGGUUCAUCUUAACUUCCAUGUUUCUGUCCUCUUAACAGGUUCAUCUUAACUUCCAUGUUUCUGUCCUCUUAACAGAUUCAUCUUAACUUCCAUGUUUCUGUCCUCUUAACAGGUUCAUCUUAACUUCCAUGUUUCUGUCCUCUUAACAGAUUCAUCUUAACUUCCAUGUUUCUGUCCUCUUAACAGGUUCAUCUUAACUUCCAUGUUUCUGUCCUCUUAACAGGUUCAUCUUAACUUCCAUGUUUAUGUCCUCUUAACAGGUUCAUCUUAACUUCCAUGUUUCUGUCCUCUUAACAGAUUCAUCUUAACUUCCAUGUUUCUGUCCUCUUAACAGGUUCAUCUUAACUUCCAUGUUUCUGUCCUCUUAACAGGUUCAUCUUAACUUCCAUGUUUCUGUCCUCUUAACAGGUUCAUCUUAACUUCCAUGUUUCUGUCCUCUUAACAGGUUCAUCUUAACUUCCAUGUUUCUGUCCUCUUAACAGAUUCAUCUUAACUUCCAUGUUUCUGUCCUCUUAACAGAUUCAUCUUAACUUCCAUGUUUCUGUCCUCUUAACAGAUUCAUCUUAACUUCCAUGUUUCUGUCCUCUUAACAGGUUCAUCUUAACUUCCAUGUUUCUGUC